UUUUAUGACAAUGACAGUUGAAUUUGAUUAAUUAUUAAUUAAGAGAAAACAUAUUGGGUUUGGAGCAUAUGAGAUUUAAUUAAUUUAUUAAAAGCUUUGCAGCCCUAACCAAAGCCAUGCAUGGCUUAUAAAUACUACCAAUUUCAAAGCUUCUAAAUACACCAAAACAAAAACUAACUUCCAACACAAGAAAAACCCAAAAUAAUAAUUCCAAUAUCUUCUUCCUUCUUCCUUCUUCCUUCUUCCUUCUUCCUUCUUCCUCGAUCUUCUUUAUAGGCCUCCUUCUUUCUCUAUAUUCUCAAAAUCAUGUCAUCCCUUGGAGCUUCCUAUGCCAAAAUCCACCUCCUACAGAAGCAACAAAAGGAGAAACUUGAGAGAAUGGAACCAAAUCGAUUCUCCCGAGGAGAGACCGCCACCGCCACGGGUUCCUCUAGUGGUGGUUCUUUGCUUGCAAGGAAUAAAAAAGUUCACCCGGGAAGCAUUGCUCCGACGACCACAGUCGACAGCUACAAAAAUAGAACAUGAUCAAGUUAUAUAUUUGACUUUAUGCUUCCCGGCCCUUCUUGAUCAUGACCUGUUUUCCUUCUUUUAGUGUCUAUAAAAUCGAAAAGCUUUUGUUUGUGUAAAUGUGUUUAAAAAUGUCUGUCCAAAGGCCAAAAGAAAAAGAAGAGGAAGAAGAAGAAGAAUAGUAUAAGUGUGUCUUUUGGUCUGAUCUACUCUUUUCAUGUUCUCUAGUCUGUACUUUUCCAAUGUUUUGCUGUUAAUUAAUUAAGGAUGUAAUUGUGUCUUAAUGCUUUAUAAGGUAAAGUAUAACACUUUAGUUUUUAUUAUACAUAUAUAUAUAGUAAUUUUCUCCUUUGACGUCAUGAUAGCUAUAGAAAAGUAUUUGGACAAUAUACAUCUCACAACUAUAUCUAUUCAUCUCAAAAUGAACAAAGUGAAGAAAAAAUUCAAAACAAUUAAUUAUUUUAUGUAGAGAUGUGAAGAAAUAAAAUAACUAUAUACAUUUGUAAUUUGUAACCUGUUACAUUAACAUUUGAAAAUGAAGAUGAAGUAAGUUGUAACUAAAACAUGUGAAUAGAGGAUAUGUGAGGGUUUGGACCUAUCAUUUUCAAUAUUGAUUUCAUAAGAAAGGAGAUUCAUAUCAUCCUCAUUAGAGGGAGGUAUGAUAGAGACAUGAGCUCACAAAUUAUUUUGGAUUAUCUUUUUUAUUUGAAGCAUUUGAGAAGCCAACCAUGUGAAAUGUUCUCAAGUUUUAAUGAUGGCUUCCAAUAAUAAUAAUAAUGGAAUUGCAAGUUUAUUUGGAUUGGAAAAACUUUCUUCAUAGUUGACUUUUAAAAGUGGACUACUAUCCAUAGUGCCACCCACUAAAACCAAUUAAUUUAUAACUCUUUAGAACAAAGUCAAAUUAAUUAUAUCCAAUUUGGAUCUACUUUAUUUCUUCUUUUUUUUUUUAUUGACUGAAAUUAAUUAAAUUUUGAUUUAAAAGCCAACAUUUACAGCAAUUGGUUUCAGUGUAAUACUAGAGAUAAUAUAGUUAGAGAGGUUCACUUUUCUAUGUAUAGAUUCUAGGUCAAAAGGAUAAAUGUAAUCAACAAGGCUCAGAAGUGGAAAGUUAGACCUUUGACCUUAACUAUCCCACGAACAUCAACCUAAGCUCCAAGGGUUAAGUAGCCUAGCUUAGUUGGUCCAAUGAUCCUUUGAGUUGGGUCGAAAAGUUCAACUUCCACCUCCUAAUAAGUCGUCAACAACACCAUCCGAUAACUUUAAUAUACGAUGAUAUGUCCAACAUACCCCCGAACUUAAGUAUUUUACCUAGGAUUCGAUCAUGUUAUCAGAUAACUGCUUUAAGGCUACUUCGAUAAUCUGAUGGGUAAUAAGGACUUUUUGGUUUUGUCACAGCCUGAGUUGGCUUCUACUAAUUGGUUGUUGUGUAAUAUGGACUUUUUUUUGCCUAUCCUAGUAGUGCUCUCAAGCAUCAUCGAUGAUGAUCUAACGGGUAAUAAGGACGUUUUGGUUGUCAUAGCUACCGCUAGGAUUGACCAAAAAAGUCCAUAUUAUCCAACAACCAAUUAGUAAAGGCUAGCCCAAAUUUGUGACAACCAAAAAGUAUUUAUCACCAUCAGUUCAUCGGCGAUUCCUUUGAUAUAUAUUUUGAAAAUUAAAUGAAUAAUAGAAGAAAACCUAGGUCAACCUCUUUUAUAAAUAUAUCAUUAUAACUUUAUAUUGGAUAACUUGAUUCCUGCCCUUAAACUAUUUAUAAAUUUAAGCAUUGGAGUGUGUAUCACAAAGUAUCAUAUUAGUCUAUAGAAUUUUCUCUUUUGCAAAAUAUGUUCUACUCCCCUUCAAACAAAUUCACUUCACUAUUGUUAUUAGGGAAAACAUAUUUUUGUUGUUCAAGUUUUCACAUCAACAUCUUUCAUUUAAUUUGUGUAGUGAUAUAAUUUGUUUUUCUUGCAAUCCAUUUUUAAGAAUCUGCACUAAAUUUAAGUUUGAGUUAUCUGCAUAAUUCCCAUAAAUCGAAACUAAAUUUAGAAAACAAAUUAGAGAAGUUGGAUUUUAAGAACACAUGUUUUUUACUUCUAGAAUUUGAUAAAUUUAAAUGUUUUUUUAUGAAACAGGAAGAAAGUUAUUUUUUUAUUUAAGAAAAGUACAAUUUUCUCAAAUUAAAAAAAGAAAAAUAAACUCAAAUAACAACUAAAAUGGAGUCUUGGGUUUUAAUUAUUCUUUAAAACUAAUGUGGUUUGCCUUUUGCUUACACACCUUUCUUUUCUACAUUUUUAAAGUACUUUUAAAACCUUAACGAAACUGAGAUAACAAGGAAAUUUGAAAUUAAUUUUCAAAAAGUGGAUUAUUAUCAAUAAAUCUACUCUUGCAUUAGUGAUAUAUUGAUUAAUUUAUUGGGUUUGUGGUGAGGAUCAUUACUAUUGGUGCCCUAGGUUUAUAACGUGGAUUAUUAUUAUUUUAAUCAAUCUUCUUAAUCUCUAUUGAUAAGUUAAGCAAUUUAUCACAGUAUUUAUAACAAAACAUAAUUAAAAUUUUCCUACUUCAUUACUCAUUUUAUAUAUAAUUUAUUCUAAAUUUAUAUACUAAUUUAGUUCGUAUUUGAAUCAAUUUAGUCUUUUAUUUUUAAAAUGACUAAGGCUCACUAUCUUUUAACCACCAUUAAUACUAAUUAUUGUUGGUAAUUUAACGUUGUUAAUGUACCCCUUUUUGUCACACAUGACAUUCAUAAAAAGGAGAACACAUGUGUGCUAAUGCUUACCUUGGAAUCUGCUUUAGGAUGAUUUUUCUAUUUGAAUAGAUAUUUUUCAUAUAAUAUUCUCCUCGAAUGAAUCUAGAUUCAAAAUUAUUCCUUCCAUGUAUAUUUCAACCAAUCAAAUCUAGCUAGUAGAUGAACAUUUUCACUCAUCAAUUAGAGUAAUGAAUAGUAUUUCUAAGACUAACAAUUAAGUAUAUUAAAACAUUUUUUUAAAAUGAUAAAUAUAGCAAGAUUUGUCUCUAAAAGACUAUACCAAAUAGAGACUAUUUAUAUAAGUGAUAAAUUUUACUAUGGCUGUUGAGCAUAAAUUUGGUUAUAUUUUCAACAAAAGAAAAAACAAAAAAUUCUUAUACAUGUUAUUGUUAUAUUUGUGACAAUUGUUUUUAUAUAUUGAUAAAUGAUUGAUUAAUGUAGUGUGGGAAUUGAAAAAUGGUGUUAUGUUAUGUCUUGUUAUAAGGAGAAGAAAACAUAGCAGGAAGACCCCACCAAUGUGUCUUAAUAUAUGAAUGAAAAAUAAAGCUAACUUUCGGCAGCAACAGAGUGUGACACAUAAUUCCCCAAUUGCUCAAUUGUUAAAUGAUAUUCAUAUUUCAAAAUUAAUAAUAGUCCUUUGUAUUUGACACAUUGCUCCAUAAUAACCCUACAACUUGUCUCAAAUUAAAGAUUUGUGGUUGACAGAUGAGUUUCAUAACCCAUUAUUCUCUUUAUCAUUAUUGUUGUUAUUUAAUUUUAUAUUAAUAUUCAACACCCACCAAGACCAAUAUUGAGAAGCUAUAUAUGUCUAUAAUAAUAUGUACACUAUUGUUCUUAUAUAUUAUCAUUAUCAUUCAUAUAAUUUUAUUUUAGAACAAUUUGAGGGCAUGCACUCACCAAAUCAGAAAAAGCUACCAGCGUGGCUCUCCUUUUUGUUUUUGAAUUGUGUUGUGUGAGGUCCCUCCACCCCCACAAUUCAUCUUAAAUAAUAACACAUCUCAAUCACUAGGGUUCUAAUUUUUUUCUUUAAAAAAUUGAGUUCAUUCAAUCGUUUUCUUAUUAAUGUGUGUUCGAUAAAGCUGAUGUUAAACUUUGAACAAGAAAUUAAAUGUACCUAACUUUCAUUCAACCCUCACAAUGAAUUUAUUUGAUGGAGAGAAAUUAAAAGUGAUCUACGAAGGAAAAAAUUUACAAAUCGACCAUUAUAUAAUAUUCGUCACACACACUUACACUCUAAUGCUUUGAGUUGGGAAAGAUUAUGGAAGUGAAGAAGGUUGAGAGUAUGAUUCAAAUUAUUUGAUUCAUAUGAAUAAUGUAUAAUUAUAGAAAAGUAUUUUCUUUAAUUUUAUGUGGAAAUUAGCCAGGUAUUUGAUUAACAACAAGAAAAAAAAUGCAAAAACUAGAAACAGUAUUUAGUUAUAAUCUCCUUGAUGUAUCGGAAAUUAAUUAUUGUUCAUCAAUAAUGUUAGCUUUCUAAGUCUAUAUAAAAUAUGAAAGGUGUGCACAUUAAUAGUAGUGGGGGUCUAUUUUACUAUAAUGUGACAGAGAUAUACUUAAAUAAUUAAUCCUUACUUAUAAUGGUUAUUAAAGUUAUUAAGGAUUAGUAUUUAAACAACUAUUGGCUUUUGAAAUCACUUGUCACUUUGUGUUUGCACAGAGUUUUAGAGGAUGGAGAGUUUUCAAUUCUUCGUACUUUUAACUGAUUUACUUUAUUUGCUCAAAUACACGUACCAAAGAGUGAAAUAUAAAGAAUUGUAAAAUUUUUUGUUCCCAAUAAUUACGGAGGUGAAUGGAUGAAAAAAGAAAUAGUAAACAUUCAAAGUAGUAAUUGAUGUCUUCUCUACUCAAUCAAUACAAAGGUAUUGUCUGUUGGGUAGUGGUUUAAAUUAAGUAAAUAGUCGGGUUUUGAUUGGAUGUUUAGUUGUAUCAAAACGUAAUGUAAGUUUAUAAAAUUGAGAAUAACUAAUUCGUUACUCAAACUCUCUAGGUUAAAUAAAUUAAAAGUUUUGUCAAAGUUUUAUUAAUGUUUUUGUUCAAUAUAACGUAGUGGUUCAUUCAUGGGUUCCUAUUUGUAAAAUGCAACACUUAUCAUAUUAACCUUAGGAGUAUUCAUUAUCCCCUUGGUUUAUCUUUGGUUGGUUUGGUUGUGAUUUAUGAAACUAAAAUAAAUUUAAAAUUAUGUCAUUCUUUUCAUAAUUUUAAUCACUUUAGUCCCUUCUUUGAAAAAAAAGUUAAUCACUUUAAUCCCUCUAUUAUUGGUUGUGACUAAAUCGUGAAAUUAAUCUCACAAGGUAUUUUAGUGCGAUUUUUAGAGAUAAAAAAGUAAUUUUGAAUUGACUAAAAUAGAAUAGAAUAUAAAUAAACCAAAAUCAUUACAAAAAAAGUAAGUUGAUUGUAGUUAUGUUUUAUAAUUCAUUAGUAAAUACAGCAAUAUUUCAAAUUCUAUCUACACCAAUAGACAAUAAUAGAAAGUAUGUAUAUCUAUCCAUCCCUAUCAAAAUCUUUCAUAGAUAAAAAAUAAUUCCAUCCAAACAUAUUCUCUUCAUUUUUAAAACAAAGAUUCUAUUAAAUUUACCAUAACAAAAAAUUAGAGCAAAAGUUAAGGACAGUAUUUUAAUUAUUAAAAAAAAUAGAAAAAAAUAGGCGAACAUUUUCUUUCAUCAAGAAAAGAACAAAAUAUCAAAAAUGGAAACUUAAUGAGUACUUAUCCAUUUUUUCCCUUUAAAAAUUAAUAUAAUCAUUGAAAUUUUGUUUUUUUAGCAAAACUUUAAGCUAUUACUUGUGAUUAGUUAAACUACUUUGAUAACUGUAGGUUAAAAUCAACCAUGUUCUAUGUUAAUUCAUUGUCCUUUUAUCGUUUUCGAGCUGCUUGGCACCGUUUUCACCAUAGCUUCACGAAGCUAAGCUCGCAAAGUCUGUUUUGUGCCUUUGAAUUUUCAUUCCCAAGCUGUCCCAAUAAGCAUAUUCGUAUCUUAUUGAUUUCUAAAGAAACUUCCUUAUAAAAUUUCCAUGAAGCCAGCCACUAUCUUAUGUAAUUUCCCCCACUAUAGCCAUUUGCUAGCACUUUCACAGCUUCAACAAUGAAGAACAUAGACAUUUGUGCGGGAUACCUUCUCGUCGUCCAUCUGUCUGUCAUCUGCUCUUUCUUUUAUGGGUACAAUGGUCGUCGUCACUUUGAACUCAUAAAAUUGAAUUGAACCAUAUGGAACCUAUAUUUAAGAAAUCAUAGGGCUGAGUGAUCUCUCCCAAAAGUGUAGAGCCCUAUAUAUACCAGUUACAUUUCCAUAUUUUAUGUAUCCUCCCCCACAAAGUAGGGCAGAGGGAGAAAGACAAUGAUAUAAAUUUAAUUAUCUCAAAAUAUGCACUAAAAAUCACAAGUCCUUACCACCACAGCUCGAUAUGAUUUAGCUCUUGCUUCGUUCACAGGCUCAUUCGUUUAGAGAUCAACGUUACACGACGAGCGUGGCACUGUCUAAAACUUGACCUGACAUCCAAAGGAUGAAGUAAUGUACAAUAAGUCAAUGCUUGGAAUAAUAAAUCUACACAAAACUUCCUCAAAUCAAACUGAAACAUAAAAGACUUUUAAUAUGUCUAAUGUCACAAAUGUUCUAAUGGUCUGCCCCCUUGAAGUAAAUAAUGAUUAUGAAGGUCCCUAAUGUUUCAGAACCAAAAAGCUUGGUUCGAUACUUUAUAAAUUAAGCCCAAUUGUAGAAGCCCAUUACCACUAUCUGUCUUCAAAUCAAAUUCCAUUAUCCCAAGGUACAUGAACAAAAUUUAAUGACAAUCACUAAUCAAUAGGUUCGGUCCAAAAGAGAAGAUACCUUUAGCACAAAACAUUCACUGAGAAGGGGGAGGAUGACCAUAAUACACCAUCCCUGGCGGCUGAAGCGGUCUAAAACUAGGUGCCAGAGGUUGCUGCGUGAAAGGGACCGGUUGUGUUUGUAUCAUAGGUGAUGGUUGUUGAGCCAAGGGUAUUGUCUGUUGCAGCAUCUGCUGGGUCAAGGGCACCACUGGACUAACCAUGUGGGGCAUUGGUGGUGGUGGUACCGGAGUUGAGCUUGGAAGACUACCAUAACCAUAUGGGGUUAAGACUCCAUUUGAGAGCUGCAAAUAUUGCUGAGAAGGUGCACUUGGAAGCAUCUGAUACUGAGUCUGUGAAUUCGAGGCUUGGCUCUGCAUUGUUGGUUGGGGCACCAUAACUGAUUGGUAUGAAUGGUUAGCGGGAGCAGCAAGGGGCUGCAUAGACAUGAAAACAUUAGGAUCUGAACCAACGGCUGACGCUUCAGGUUUUGUGAUAGAAUUAGCAGAGGAACGCAUGGGCUUUGAUGCAAAUGCAUUCAAUCCAUUAUUAGUCUUUGUUAGAUUAGUAUGCUUUGCCUCCUCAGCCGCAAAUGUGGAGAGAACCGAUGUCAUGAUCAUUUGUGAGGAACUAGAAGCUGCAAGCUUGUCCGCAACCUCUGCUGCAAUGGCUGCAGCCGACUUCUUAGGAGUCUGUCCUGCUUUUGCAUUUGAAUCAAUGAUGGAAGUUUUCGAUACAUAACCUUCAUCAUUUAGCCGGUUUUGCAUAUUUUUAGCCUCUUCUGCUUGAGCCUGAGCCACCUGUAGUUUUUGAAGUUCAAAACAAAAUGAGUAAUGGCAACAAAAAAACUCAAUCAUCAGCACCCAUCAAAUUCACAUGAAUUAAAUUAUAGGUGUCCACGGUAAAGCUUCAUUUUUCCUCCAUAUAACAAGCCAGUCCCUCACUUUCAUAUUAUAAAACUAAAAAUACUCAUGUUGAAGUUCAAAUAAAUGUCAAAUACAAGCACAAGCAAAACAAGUCUAUUUCACUCAAGAAAAUACCUGCAUCUGGGUUCGAAUAUUCUCCAGCUCCGAUUCCUACAGUUAAUAGUCAGUUUCCCAAAUUUGUCAAUUGUAAGUACUUCAUAAUAACAUAAUGUAAUACAGAAAUCAAAAUUGUUCAAACUUCUAAGGAAAUUGAGAAAGGAUUGAUCAAGAUACCUGAACAUGCAAAGCUUCUUUUAACUGAGUGAUAAGUGCCAGGCGACUGGCUUCAACCGAUUGCAAUUUCUCAAUACACUGUUUCAAAACACUUUCUUCCUCUUCCAGUUCUUUGGCUAACUUUUUACGCUGAGGAUUUUUUGCUGGUGGAUAAUCAUAGAAACUCAGAGACUGUAUAAUUUGACAAUUGAAAGAUGGCAUAAUAAAAAAUUUCAACUAAGAGUACAAAUCUUUCAAAACAAAUUAGAUGCAUAAUGGAGAACAUUGAGACAAUGUAGACAACAUUAAAUAAUUGUUGUCAUACCCAUGGAACAAGCAAAAUCAACGUCAUUUUCCAUCUUCCUUACACGUUGAACCGCAGAAUUACAGUUGGUCAUCUCAGUUUCUUCAUUAGAAUAUUCACUAAGGACCAAGUGGAAUGCUGAUACUAUUUUUUCAGCUGCACUUCCAAUAGACAAUUUCUGCGUACCAAAUUAAGGAAUAAUGUCAACUCAACAACGAAAUCAUUGGAAGUAAAACAAAUAUAUAUAAUAUUGAUAAUAAGAAAACUAAAUGGAAACAGUCAUGGAAAAUCAAGACAGGGUCUUGCAUAACUUCUGGUGCCACCAAAAGAAAAUUGGAAAAAAAGCUUAAGAUAAAAUAGUCGCUCACCGUUCUAAUUGACCGUGAAUCUCUUUUGACAAUUCUGACUGAUCGAGUACGUUUUUUGCUAAACUCUAGAGGUGGAGGUGCCUCUUCCCCAAGUAUUACAUCUUUGAGGCUUCGAGUCCGGGAUCCAAAUACCUUCCUUUGUUCCCAUAUAUCCACCUAAGAAGGUGCAAGAAAAAUUUGAUUAACAAGUUCAAAGGAAGGAAAAAAAGGCAAAAUAAAGGCCUUAAAAUAAGAUCCUAGAAGUACUUUCUGAAAAAUUUUCAUGCUCAACGAAUCCGCAAUUUGUUCAUUUAAAGUAGACACAAGUACAUGACAACAAUCUCCAAUACUCAAUAAAAGGGAGUAGCUGCCCUGAUAAAUUCCAUUAAUUGCAUCUUCAAUUUUUAUCAGUAUUCACCAACACAUUUAGUUGGAAAAUCUUAAAACGUGCAAGAGAGUUAGACCACUCGUCCGAGAAGAGGAAAAGCAAAUAACUCAAACUUACCAAUCUAGAAAUUACAUUCUUUCCAUGGCUGUCACCAUUCUCAAGGACAUCCUUAAGUGCUGAUGGAAGAACCUUCCAGAACUCAGUAACAAAUUCAUUUCCCUUACGCUUACUAUUUUGUAAGAUAUCAUUAGCAAGAUACAAAAGAGGAACUUUCUGAACCAUUUCAGAAUUGUGGAACUGCUUAUCCCAUGUUGCAACAACCAAUUCAGCCUUGCCUCUAUGAAAUAUACACCAAUGUGACAAAGCUAUAGGAAAAGAGUUAAGAAUGACAGAAACAUCUCUUGUAACAAAUUCAACAUGAUGACACAAGCAACUAAAGGUAACAGAAUUAACAAACACUCUCUAAUAAGCAACAAUACCAAAGAGAUUAAUUACAAAAACCAUUAAGAAAAAAGCAACAAUUGAAGUGUAAUACCCAAAUUCUAUAAAAUCCCAAUCCAAGCUUUGAAGGGUAUAAAGUAAUCAAUCAACCUCUAGGCUCUAGAGAGUUGAAACAACAGAAGAUAAAAUGGGCAGGCUCAAACAAAAACGAACUAAGAAAAAAAAAUCAUCAAUUGGAAGCUUUCGAACACUACCUAACUAAAAACAAGAAGAAAAAAGGCAAGAACCCCAAAUGGGGUAACAAAAACGAAAUAAAAAAGGAUACUUUCAAUACACUGCUGCGUGCUAUUGAGCUUCGACAGCUUAUCAGCAAGUAUUUGCUCACUGAACACACUAUUCAUUCCAGUACAGCAGCAAACUAGAGCGAGAACCCGAUAACAAAACGAACAGUAGAAAUCCCUAGAAGCGCAACAAGCAAAAGGAGAAAGAUCUGAAAGGUGGAAUCAAGCAUAGGCAGCUUAAGAUGGAAAAGAAAACCAAGAAUCGAAGGAAGAAAAAAGGGAUUGAACCAAGAAAAGAGGAAGCGGGAAGAAAUCAAAAGGUGAUGAAAGUAGAGGGUUGGGGGAAAAAUGCAAGAAAAAAGGAAAAGGAAAACAAGAGUUGGAAUGAAAUGGAAAAUUGGGUAUUUGGGUAUCUGUUGAAAGGGAAGAAGAAACGGAAUCGGAGAAGGAAUCAGGUGAAAUUGAAGGAAACAGAGUUGCAGAGGAGGAAGAAGAAGAAGAGAAAAGAGAAAAGAAAAAGGGGAUGGUUUUAGAAAAUUGGAAGAAAUUUUGGGGAACGUUUUGGCGCAAACAAAUGAAAAAAAGGAAAUAAACGCUUCUCCGAUUCUUGUAAACUCCCUUCAUACCGCUUCCCUAAAGUUUUUCCAUUCCCUUUUCCUUUUUUUUCUUUUCUUUUUUCUGUUUUUUAACUUACAUUGACAAAUUUUGUAUGUAAUUAAAUAGAUACAAUUUUCGAUGUGAAACCACUCAACAUAGUUAAAUGGUGUAGUUUCUAUUUUUUAUUAAAUUCUUGGAAAUUUCCUCACUAAUUUUUUUUAAAAAAAUAAAACAAUACAAAAAUAUAUAUGAGCUCUCACUAAUUACAGCAUCAUCAAUUUUUCCAUAGAUUUAAUUUUUGACUAAUACUUAACUUCUUGACCAGAAAAUUUUAGAUUUUACUUUUUAAGUCAUAGAUUGCAUGUAUACAAAAAGAAUUUACAACCUUUCAAAUGAAAACUGUCCCAUCUAAAACUUGCAACAUUUUUUAAGUUUAAAUUUAAGAUUGCAAACAUUUAUUCGAUUAAAUCAAAAGUUUGAAGUACCCAUUGGUUACUUAUUCGUAACCAUGGGUAAAUUCUUUUUGAGUACACCCCACAUUGCUUGAAAGUUGAAAUAGCUUAUAAAUGUUGGAUACCAAAACUAAACAAAUUCAAAAGUUCAAAAAUCAAAAUUAAAAUAUACUAUAAAGUUAAAGUACACUCUUUUAUUUUACAAAGAACAUAUAAGGCGCACCAUUUUGCUUCACUUUUUAAGUACUACCAUUUCAAUUAGAUGCAUCAUAAUUUCAACGGUAGACAAAACGGACAUACUCCAACUCCUAUAAACUCUCAAUUUCUCCACCUCACAUACAGUUCAAAAUAGGGGGAAAAAUCAGUUCAGUACAAGUUGAACCCAUUAUUUCAUAUCCUGAAUUCGAAAAUGAACUGUACCAUAUUAAGAGACUUAUAUUAUAUUAUAUAAUACAUAUAUACAUACAUAGCUUUUAGAGGUAAAGAAAAUAAUAAGCAAGAAGAAAUGUGUCCAUCUAUAACAAAGUCAAAAGCACGGUGGUUAAUCAGAUCCGAAGUAGUUAGUGUCAUGAAAUUUGAAGAAGGCAUCAUAUGAAUCAUACUACAAAGCUAACUCAUUAUAGGUUUUUUUGUACCCACAGGAAAACAUGAUUACAUAACCAAAAUACAAAGUAAUCCUCUUCUUUUAGAAGUCAAUCUCAAUAUCCUAAUUAAUAUGCAAGAAAAAACCUACCCAUUGGAUUCUAUUCCAAAACCCGUCCAUCAUUUUCAGCUCAGCAGAGAUAAAUUCCUCCCUGCAAGCACUCAAGACAUUCGAACAUGCCACUCCAUGCCUUUUUAAUUUUCCAAAAUCUAAACUCGCUAAGGAAUCCACAAGGGGCACAUCAAGCAGCAGGCACGACACAACACUUAAUCAUCACGGGCAUUGUCUCAACUUACUGCUUAAUGUCUUUUCCCCUUGCUGAUGCUGUAUGUUUUAUCUGCACCUGUUCGUCUGAUAAAGGUAAAUAGUAAAUGCGAGGAGUAGCCUUGGUUUUCCUGAAAAGGUCGUCUAAGGUGACAAUAGGAGUGUCGACUUUAUCGGGAAGUGCAGGUGGAGGUGGGAGUGGUAGCUGCUCCCUUGCUUGAGCAACGUUGUUUGUGGGUGUGGGUGUGGGUGUGGGUGUGGGUGUGGGCGGGGGUGGUGGAAGAGAAGGCGGCGGAGCAUGUUGCUGCCUUGGUUGACGAGGCGAAGGCUCGGGUUGCACGGGUGGGGGCACGUUAGAGACUGGUGGAGCAACCACCGCAGGUGUAGGAGUCUGUGGAGCUUCUACUCGAGUUUUUACUUCUUGAGGAUCAACAAACUCAGCUAUAAGAAGACGCCCACCAUUUGGUGGCCAUUGAAGGUUGUAAACAGCAUCUCUAGUCUUCAGGGCUUCUUCCACCGACGAGUACUGCAUUGGUGACAUUAGUUUCCAAGCAAUAAUUAGAAAACUCAAUGUUAUGUCCAAGAAUCAAAUUCCACAUUGUGCACCACUUGAAGCAGAAAAUAAUUAGAAAACUCAAUGUUAUGUCCAAGAGUCUUACAGUUACAUAGCAAUGCGUCUUGAUGUGAUCCAUCCAGAAACUGGUAACAUUGCCAGUCUUACCCAGAAGUUCUUGCACAGCUUUGAGGGUAAAUGGACGCAGAAAACGAUCAAUUCUUAGUGAGUUUGUGGGAGGUUUUGGUGAUGGUGGAACUGCAAAAGGCAAAAGAGAGACGAGUGAAUCAGAUGUGGCCAAGAGCUUAAAAUAUAGUCAGCUCAUCAAAUUUAAUCAGAUAUGGCCAAGAGCUUAUAGUAUAGUCAGCUCCUCAAAUUUAACUCACCAACACGUUCCUUUGAUGGAUCUUCACUAGCUGUGGAGUCAGAUCUGGAGAAGUUGCGUUUUGGAGCAGUGGAUUGAUGAAUGUCCUUUGAAUUACUAGUCGAUGUAUGAGCAGCAUUUUGGGGCUCUGGAAUUUUGAGGUUCUCAGAAUUCCACCUACGCUGUCUCUUCACGGACUCAUUUCCAACCACUGCUUGAUCUGCAAAAAUAACCUCAUCAGACAAAACAAAACAAAGACAAUUGAUUUUAAAUUUGAAGGAAAUCCAAUGCAGUAAACUGUUCUUCAAUUGAAUCAAUAAUCAAUAAGACCUGUCACAUACCCCCAUCACAGCACGCCAUCCAAAUUAUAAAACCACAUUCCCUUUUAAACUCCACUUAAAGAAAAGACGAAAUUACUAUAGAGAGAGAGGUAACUAUUUGCAAUAAGACGGCCAGAUUAAGGUGAAUUCUCUUACAUUCAUAGCAGAAGGAAGCAGGACAGGACCCAAUUUUACUGUUAACAUGGAAAAUAUGGGAGGUACUCAACGUAAUACAGCCAGACUUAAAUACCAGAAAACGUACGUCUAAAGGUUUAACUCAUCUCAACCAGUCGCCUCACAUGAAAUACAAAUUCAAAAAAGAAGUAACUUGAUGAAUCUGAUAUAUGAAUCCGUGAACUUCAAUCAUUUCCUUGCUCCCUCUCUAUACUUGCCUAGGGAUUACCUUUUAUCCUUCUAUUAACACUUACUUCCUAAAGGUGCAAAUGAAUGUCAACCCUUUACUUUAGCUCCUUCGUAAAUUACAUUUCUUUUCAAGAAAAGAAGACUUCUAUCAAGCGAAAUAUACAAAAAUGAAAGCCCAAGACAAGAAAACAUGGGGGAAAACAAAAGAGAAAACACCUACAAAUUGGCUAUAUGAUCUCAACGUUCCACUUUCCUAUGAUUUUACUUAUGACAAGAACAAUCUCCCAAUAAAGUCCAUCAAAACAAAAGAAUGCACUCGAUACUAAUUAGAAGUGCUAGUGACUGAAUCGUCCACAAUAAUUCAGCACAGAACUUGGAGUUUGAAGAAGAGAGAGUAUAAUAAAAUGUUAAGGUAGCAUUUAACAAGGAGAGAAUAGAGCAUGGGGUUUUGCAGAAAUGGGGACAAUCCAUCCAGAAACUGUCUGGACUGAUACUUCAUGGUAUGGCCAGAAAAAGGCACUAAGAAAGAGAUACAUGUAGAUGGACAGAUAUGGAGAUAGAACCUGUCCAUUUAGCUGGAAAUGAAAGUAAACCCCAGAUGGCCAGAGAGAAUAUUAGUUCAACUGAAAACAAGAUUUCACAGAACCAUGAACCAUCCAUUAUAUUUGAAGGUCAUCUUACAUCUAAAGAAACCUUACCAGAAGACACCCAUCAUGAAUGUAAGAGGUACAACUAAUUCAAAAAAGAACAAGAAAAAAGAAAAUGAAAAACAUCGAGCAAAAAUAUGAAAAAGCAUAGCAACACAAUUUAUCCAAACAGCAACUUUUGUUUAAAACUAGAACAAUGUUUUGUACACUUGACUCAUCACUACUCACAGAAAGCGCAACAACACAACACAGUACUGACACUGCACCAAAGCACUUAGCCAAUUACUAAGCACUGGGAGGCAACAACAAAAUCCAGUCGUCAAGCAUCAUUUAGCUACCUAUUUCUUCCAGAAAAGCCAAUGCAGAUACUGCAGAAACUAAAUAUCAACUUUACUACCAAAUACUAAAAAACAAAAUCAUCCAUUGAAAGAAAGCUAGCAAUAUUCUGAGCUGCAAUUCAAGAGACUCAAGCAACAGAUACUCUUCUUACAACUCUUUUUAUGGUAGUGGGGUGUACUCUAAAACUCCACAUAUAUAUUCCGGUGAAUCAAAAUAAUGACAACCCUUAUCCAACAUACAACUAACAAAAGGAAGAAGAAACCAAUUCCAACAAUUGAUAUAAUAUUAUUCGUAGGAAAACAAGAAAAGGUAUGUAUGACAAAAAUUCAUUAUCCCUAACUAAAGUGACAUCCAUUACAUUGCAUAUACAUAAGUUGAAAAUAUUACAUAACAAGAAAAACUUUAAAUCAAAAUUCCCAACCAUAAAAUUAUCAGGUCAAAAUUUCAGUACUGACAGAAAAACCAUAUUGAAAAUUUCAAAACAGAAAAUCAUUUAUGUUAUAGAAGGCUUUUAAAAUAUAGAAAAAUGGGCCAAACUAAUUAGAAGUUAUGGCAAAAAAAUUUCCAUUCCUUACAGCCCAGAUAGAAGUUGGAUGGUGGCCCAUCAAUGUCUAUCAAUUAUACAAACUGAUACAUGUCUAUCGCUAAUAGACACUAAUAGAAGUCUAACAUCAAUAUUAUUAUUGAUAGAAAUUGAUAAAAGUUUAUUAUUGAUAUAUAUGUAAUAGAAACCUAUCCGUGUCUAUCAAUGAUUUUUUUUCUUUUGAUAUUUUUGUAAACAGUUUGGCAUUUAUUUUCUUUCAGUUAAAAUUUUUUAUGUUAUAUGCAGAAAUAUUUAAUUAGGCUGAGAAAAUAACACAGUUUUCAUUUAUUUCCUUUCAUUUUGGUAGCUCGGAUCAGGCUUGGGGAAGAAGAGAGGGUCUAGAAGUAAGCAUUACAUGAAGCCUUCUUUUUUCAGCAGGCAAAGAUGUAACGUCAUUCUCUAUACCAAUACUCUUUCUGUCUCCAGUUGAGCCUCGCAUUGCUAUGUCAACAACCUUUUCCUCUUGGGACAUAAGGCCCUCAUUUUUUACAUUCUUCUCUCCCAUUUCUUCAAGAUUAUUCACUGAAUCAGUCUUAUUCUCUGUUGUAUCUUCUAUUGAAUCAUCCCCAGAACUUCUAUCUAAAUUAAGCUUUUCAGAGAACCCCACAUCUACACCAUCAUGCUUCUCAUGAAGCUCAGAAAUUAUGUCCUUAACAUCUUCUUUCUUCUCAACAUCUUCUUUCACAAUAGAGUCCAUAACAUCUUUGUUCUCAGGUGACUCCAGAACAUCUCUGUUUGCAAGUGACUCUUGAACAUUCUUGUUCACAUGUGGCUCUUCAACAUCCAUAGGAUGUGAUUCGCCAGCAUCUGGGACAAUAAUGCUGGAUGAUGGUUCCACCAUCUCCUGCUUAACAUCUAGUUCUAAUUUUACAUGAUCAGCAGACAUAUUUUCCUUUAGUUCAAUCAUUUCAUUAAUUGUCACAGAAGCAGUAGAAAUAGAAUCAGUUCUUACUUGAGACCCUAAAACAGGGCUGACCUCAGAUACCUGGUCGUCUGGAGCAGAAGAGUCGUGCACGAGAUCUGCCUGUUGAGACUUCAAAUACUCAUUCUCCACCUGGAGCUCCAUAUUCACAUCAUCAAGCAGGGGCUUUGAAUCCUCACUAUCAAGCUGUGGCUUUGAACCCUCACUAACCAGUUGAGGCUUUGACUCCUCACUAACCAUGUGGGGCUUUGAUUCCUCACUAUCCAGCUGGGGCUUUGAAUCCUCACUAUCCAGCUCGAGCCUAUCCUCGUUAUCCUUGCUUUCAGUGUUCUGCAAACCUUCCACACCCACACCUAUUGCUACUUCAGAUACUACGGUUUCAGUUACAGUAGUUUUAGUUUCCACAGUAGAAACACGGACGGACGAUCCCUCUUCUACCCUGGGGGAACCAUUAAGACCAGCCCCAUCUUGAAUUCCACCUUCCUUCACAGCUGCAUUACUAUCAUCCUUUUCAACCUGAACUCCAACAUCAUCUACAUUAUCUGUGAUGUUAGUAUCUUCAUUAGUUUCUUUCGCCGUUCCAGAAACAAUAGAUGCAUGCUCUUGGUUAUUGUCACUAUUUGUAACUGGAGGGUCACCAUCAACACCAUUGGUUUCCUCAGCAUUUUCUUCCCUUUCCAUUCGAACUGCUUCAUCUAACCGUUUAACCAAAUCUUCCUUCAACCCCUUGAUGGUCAAUUUCCUUCUCUUAAGUUCCUCUUUCAACUCCGUAACCUUCCACUGAUCAAUCGGUCGAUUGUCGAGAAUUGAAUAUUUCGAUUUGGAAGACAUCCCGCUAAAUUCAAAACUCAAAUUUCAAACCUGCAAGGAAAAAAAAGAGAGGGAUGAUUAAGAGCCAUCGGAAAACAUCAUAAAAAUUAGAAAGAAAGAAAGAAAAAAAAAAAAAAAAGAUAAUGUGAAAAUGACUCACGAAAGUAUUUGGCUUGACUUUGCGAAGAGGAAAAGAAAAACAGAGGCGAAGAAACCCUUAGAUGAGGAAAUGAAAGGAAAAUUGUAACCCUAAUUCCAUAAAACAAAACCCACCAUUAGAGAUUAAAAGGGAAAAAUUACAGCAACCAUUCAAGAAAACCCACAACAGAAAAACUCUUAAAUAUUACAACUUCCAAAGAAAAAAGUUAAUUAAAAAAGAACAAAAAUGGGCCCCCGAAAUCAGUGGCUCAACUCGUUCGCUGUAACCUGAAAACAAAGGAAGAAGAGAGAAGAAACAGAAGAAGAAAAUGGAAUUUGGAAGAGAUAAAAGAAAAUGUGUUGUGUUUUUUUUCUUCUUUUUCUUUCUUUGUUUUUUUCGUUUAACACAAAUUUUAUGAAUGGAAAUCAAUGGCGUAGAAGGAAGAAGAAACAGAGCGAAGAGAUUGUGGGGCUUUCUAGGGUUUUUUGCUUCGCCGAUGUGAGUUUGGUAGUGAAACGAUGGGAAGAGUCUGUCCGAUUAAAAUCCAAUAUUUCGUUUCUAAAAUCUCCAAAAUACCCCUUUCAUUAUUUUCUUCUCUUUUUCUUUUUCUUUUAAUAUUUCAACGUAAAAUUAAUUUUCAUAAAUAUAAUAAAAAUAUUCAACUUCCAUUAACAUUGAUAAACUACAUGAUCAUUUAUCAUAAUAUUACAAUUUAUUGUGAACAGAGAUGAACUACAUGAUCAUUUAUCAUAAGACUUUUCAAAGUCAACAUUUAUCAUGAACUACAUGAUCGUGUAUCAUGAACUACACAAUCAUUACUAGGGCUUUUCAAAAUCAUAAUGUAUCAUGAACUUCAUGUCGUGUAUCGUAAACUACACACGACCAUGUAUCAUCAUCUACACUAUAAUUUACUGGGUUUUUUUUUCUUUCCAAAACCAUUGUUUAUCACGAACUAAUAAUCGUGCAUCAUAAACUACGCAAUUGUUUAACGAUUGUGUAUCAGGAUCGUUUAAAAGAAGAAUUACACGCUCGUGUGUAGCUGGUGUAAUUCGUGUAUCAUGAUCGUUUGGAAGAAAAAUCUCUACAUGCACGUACGUGACCGAUUAAUCGCAUAUUGAUAUAGGCAUUUUUUAUAUUUUCCGUUUUCAAAAUUGUUUUGUACGUGUAAAUAUUCUUUCCUUUUGUUAUAUUUUUAAAAGACCCCUAAAUUUUACAACAAAUAUUAUCCGAAUUCUCUUUUCUCUAAAAAAUAUCCUUAUAAUUUUAAAUUUACAGUAUUUUCAAAAGUACUACUCGCAUAAGAAUAUUGUGAGAAGUAGAGAUUUGUAAAUUUACUCGUUAUUUAGGUUCUUUAUGGAAAAUAUUCUCUGUUAGCUUUUUCCUUCUUCAAUUAUCCAUUUUUUAACAAAAUUCUCGACCUUGUAAAAAUUUAUAUAUUUUUUUUAAUGUUAAAUAGGCGGUUCUAAUACAUUUGUAUUUAAAUAAAAUGCUGUAAAAUUUUCUUAUAAAAUGUAAUAUUCAAUGUUCCAAAGUAUCAUCUCAUAAUUUCUCAACAAAGUCAGUCAACCAUUCGAUUCAAUUUAAAUAUUACACCAUACAUUCGUACAAUUCAAAACACUUUCGGUGUUAAAAUAUAUGAAUCAUAGAAACACAUGAAAAAGGAUCAUAAUAAGAAUUUAGAGACAGGUAAUUGGUAAAAGUUGUAAUUAAAUAUGUGUAUGUAUGUAUACGUGUAUCUAUACACAUGUAUAUACAUGCAAAUAUAUGUAUAUAUAUGGUUGUGGUUGUAAGGAUAAUGGGUAUGAAUAUCUUUUAGCUAAUUAGAGAUAGUGUAAUUUUAUUUACAAGGUUGGUUUGAAUGAAAAUAAGAUAAACAUGUUGAAAGUGAUCAAGUAUGAAAAUUUUCAACAAAUAUACAUGUUUAUAGGAUAAACAUCAUCAAUGGAAAUACUAAACUCAACUUGUUUUACCCCCUCUCCAAGGUCAAUCUUUCUUUUGCUUGAUUACUAAUUUGCUAAUCUAUCAAAACUGAAUAAUUAAACAAAGCAUUAAGAACUUUUAUCAGCAACCUCUUUUGCUAUCGUCAUUCAAUGGUCAUGGUAUGUUCAAACAAUACAUGCUCAAUUACUUUUCGCUAUACAACAAUUGUAGGAUGAUGGUGAAUUAAACCUCUUUAUCUUUAUAACAUAAGACUGUGUCAAUUACCGCUAAGUUAAGUUCAUUCUAGCACCUUAUUUAUUUUGAUAGUUUGUUAUAAUACUUUGCAUGACAUAGGUUAACUUUUAAGAUGCUAAAUGUCCACCUUAGGAGUAUAGCAAUUAAAUCAAGUAGGGUAGAUUGAGAUUUUAAUCAAACUACUUUUUGAUAAAACUGGGUAUUGAUAAUUAUUAUUGUUGGCAAAAUUAAGUACAUAAAAAUUGUAGUUACAACCUUGCUUCCAAUGCAAGAGAAAUUUGGAAACCAACCAAAUCUCGAAAGGACAAUAAUUUCCAUAAAACAUAAUAUCAAAUAAAUUUAGCUUGAAAGUAUCACAUAAACAUGUAAGGAGAUCUACCGUCUUCACUUUCACGUUGAUUCUUAUACAAAAUGAUAAAGAAGAAACAAAAAACACUUCAUUUCUUUAGCAUACUUAUUAUGAAAGUAUUACCAAUCAUAUGUAAAUGUCUUAAUUAGCUGCUCAUGAUCAUAUGUUUUGGAUAUCAAAAUGCUAAAUUUAAGUAUGACUUGAAUAUAGUGAGGCUUGAAUUUUGAAUAAUAGUUAUGUACUGAAUAUGAAUUAGAAAAUGGAGAGAAAAAAACAAUAAAUUAUAAUGGGUGGACAUUGGAGGUUUUUUUUUUUUUUUUUUUUUUUUUUUAAAUUGCAAAUGUAAAAAUUUAUUACAAAUAUAUUUAAAUUUCAAAAGUUAUUAAGACAACAUUUUAAUUUUAAAGAAGUUCAAAAUUAAUAAAAAGAAAACGAAUUAGAUUUUUUAAAAAGCAACUUCACCUCUUCAAGAAACGAAUAAUUAGACCAAAUUAAUGUAUAAGUUUCGGAUUCUGCAAUAUUAAGAAAAAAAAAGGAGUUUAAAAAAAAAAUACAAAAUAUUUACAGAAGACAAAAAUCUUUUAUCACUAAAUUUGACAUAAUAUUUCUAUAUUUUAAAAAAAUAUUUUCUAUACUUUGGUUUUUAUUUUUUGUAAAACUGAUAAUGUGGGUGUUGGCAAAAAGAUGAUAAACUUAAACCUACAAACACAUACCCACAAGGAGCCCAUGAAAAAGAAAAAUCAAAUGUUAAUAUCAAAAUUACAAAACACCAUCGACUUAUUUCUCUAUUAAGUUAAAAGCAAAGCAAAAUAGAAGAAUCCUUUACUACAGGGAACUGUUAUGGUCUCUACAUUAAACUUUUGCCUCUAUGGUAUAUGGUAUGAAUUUUACUCGCUUUCUUCGUCGCUUUCUUGCUGCAAGGUCAAGUGAUUUAGAUUCUUCUCCAAUGGCGGAAGUCCAUCUUCCGAAUCAUCGGAACCUUCAUCAUGUUCGCUCACGGAUGACUUAUCUGCACCUACAACAUAUGUUCAGUCUCGUUUCAGUGAAACCCUCACAAGUCCUUCCAUACGAAAACAACUCUAGUCCCAAAUCAAAAGGGCCUCUACUUCAUUGAUUUAGCCCAAAUUGGUUUGGUUUUCAUAAAUGUAUACUCCCAAAAACAGUCUAUCUGUUUAUUUUGGUUCGAUAAUGUUGAUUAGAGUCAAUUUGGUUUGAUUUUGAUCGGCUUGGUUGCUUGCUCUUGUCAGUAUGGUUAAUGUUUAUAACUAUGGACACCAAAAAUUUCUUCAACAUGACAAUCACAUUGUGUGAUUCUUAAAAAACAGUUGGAUGUGAAUUCGAAAAUCUACCUGUUCCUAAUAACUACUAGAUAUAAACUAAAAAUACUUCAGCAACGUUUUCUCCACGCAUAUAGAGAGUAUGAUGCAACUCCAUUUUCUUCAAAUUAAGGUGCAAAACAAAAAACAGAUCGAUGUAAUUGAUUCAAAAGAUUACCUUCGACAUUAUGCGGUUCUUUGGGGACUUGUCGUUGUUGUGAUAACCAAGCAUUCUGGACCGAAAUAAUAUCCGCACUAUUCUCACAUGCUGAGUAUUGUUUUAGAAGUUCUCUGUGUAAUACAAAAGAAAAAUAAGCAAGCAUGAUCAUGGAAAAGGCUCAAAUAAUAGCGCCAUUUAUAAGCCUAGAAUUCCUCUAUAUACUUGAAGGCUAAAUGGCUAAAUUUGUAAUUUAGUAUCAAAUAUCUCAGGUAAUUGCGAGCUAAUAGGCAGGUCCAGUUAGAAUAUGAUAAGCAGUACUGCUUUGGAAUGACUUUUUAAGUGAAGUGUUUUGAAGUGCAAAGUAAGUGUUUUUAAGCCCUUAAUCAUUUCUAAACAAGCCUUUUAAUCUUCAUUUGAUGCAAGUAGGUUGCAAUUAUUAUGGAUGAACCAGCAUAUUAUAUCGUGUUUGUUUUUAAAACUAAAAAUUUAAGAGUUAAAUAAUAAAACAUACCUAUUAACGGAAAGAAAAGCAUGACCCCACUUGAAUUUACCAAGCAACAGAUCUGCUGUUUCCCCUUCCCCACUGUUAGUUCAGUUCAAUAGAGAUAGUUAAACAAAAUGAACAGAAUACUUGCUCAUCUACACCAACAAAUAAUCAUAUUUCCAUUUCAAGCUAUAAAGUAGUUUAAACAUCCAUUAAAAAAGUGAUAAGCAGAGUGUUAACAACUUAACAUUAACAAUUACCACAAAUCAUAUUGUAUUGACAGUCUCUGGAAGUCUUAGGUUGCUAAAGGAGGAUUACUACCGGAGAUCUACAACUUGGUUAGUUACAACAUCAGCAACAACAAUAACCUUUCUUUGUGACUAAUUAGAACCAAAGGGACUAACAAAACCAAACAAAAAACUUCAUCAGAGUUCUGUAUCUUGAAGUGAAGUGACUAAUAAGACUACUCUAUAGCACUUUGCCAAAUUUGAACAAUCAAGCAGGGAAGUAUGCUGUUCUCUCACUUCCAAUGAAAGAAGUACAACACCUUAUAAAUCUUAGAUCAUUUUCCCUGAAUUAUCAGAAGUAAGCUAAUUGCACCAAAUUUAUGACAAAAGGAUACAAGAUGACAUGAGGAUUAGCAAUUGACAUGAAUCUCAGCAGAAUUUAGAACAAAGUUGCAAACAAGAGAAAAGAUGAGAUAAAGGUGCGUUACCAUAUGAUUAGAGCGGCGGCUAAUGCUUCCACGCAAGAUAACUCACAUGGUCGACCAUAGUUUACUGGGUUUGCUGCUACUAGCCAAGGUACUACAAAUAUUUGCAUAAACAAUUUGCAGGAUGUGAAAAUCAGAACCAAGAGAACAAAAUCAUGAUCUAGUAAUUACCAAAGCCAACCAAAUAGAGUCUAGUCAGGAAAAUGCACUUCAUCAAAUUUAGUGAAAUCUCAAUGGCAGUUUGGAAAUUACUAACAAUCAAAUGACAGCAAGGUUAAGAACUACACAAGACUUUCAUAUUCAAGAUGUAAAUCUCUUACAUAGGCGAGGAGCAGCACAUCGCAAUUUCACAAAUGGAACAUCACCCAACCGUGCCCAUGAGCAAUCCACAACUGCUAAUCCUUUUUGUUUAAGAAGACUAUGAUCUUCUUUGGAGACACAAUUCACCCCCACUGGACUGCCAAAAUUUUAAGAUUGAAAAGGUUCAAUAUAGGAACCAACAAAAUGUUUAUAUGCCUUUGAGUAUGAAUUUAAUCACUACCAUUCAUCUCCUUUCAUCAGAUCACAAAAAAAAUUACGAAAGCAUGUUCUUGUAAGAGGAUAGUUAGCAAUAUGAUAGAUCAUGGCCAACCAUAGGGAGAAGCACAUACUACUAGAUUGAUAAAGUACAACUAAUGCAAAAACGGCCAAAUGAAAAGUAAUAGCCAUGUUUCUAAUCCUUCAAUUUACUACAAUCAGUUAUUGACAAUAGAGUAAAGAGAUGUACACGGUUUUCGGAAAAUUUGAAAACUCUCCUCUCUCAAACACCCAACUUAACCCAGAAGAAAUAACUCUUACGUGCAGUCUUUACUUACAAGUUACAAGUUAGAACAUACUGCACUUAGCUUGCACCGUUCCCACCCUUCAAUAAAUUACACCACUAGGUGACGAGUCGAACCCUCACUAUAUCCCAAUAAAGAUUGGUUUCUUCAUUAUUAAAGAAGUGUUCCCCAAAAUACAUUAUGAAAUGGGCAAAGGUUGUAACAGAAUAGCAAGAGCUAAAAUCAAAAUCUUAGCUUGCUCAUAGACCACAAUAACGAAUAGCUCUACUCUAGCCAGUCUCCUUUGUAAAAGAUCAGAAUCUCAUAAUGUCUUUACAUUUUCCCUCUUUUUUCAUAUAAUUACUAGGCUUUUGUGAUGGAAGCCGUUAUAUGGUCCAUGGUCUCCCAGCUUGUCCAUGACUUUCUGGUUUGUAUGUAUCUGGGCCACUCCUUUACAAAUGAAAAAUAUACCCUUAGGUUGUCUAUCAAAGGGGGCUUCUCUCUGGGCCACCCAUUUAGGGAUGAAAAAUAUACCCUUUCGGUUGUCUAUCAAAGGGCGCUUCUUUUUCACUCUAGGUGAAACCGCCACAACCAUUUGGCUACAAAAGUCGGUUACAAAUUCUAAUUCAGAAGAAUUCUCAAUUGACGAUAAUUUUAGUGAAGUAAUAGCAAGUUUAUUCCAAAAUCCAAUGGAAAGAAAAUCUAUUCAGACUCCUAAAAGUAAGUUUUCCUUGGUUGAUCUAUCUAUAAUCCCAUCUAAAUUCUCCUCCUUAAUUGCAAGUUUUGGCUUAAGUUCAGGGGUUGCUUCUUCUCAAUUAUCAUUAGUGAUUGUUGUUUGUUACUUCUUUUCAGUUAUGAAAAAAUUUCCUCCAUCUCAUCAUCCGGAUGGUUGUGGCAGUUUCACCUGGAGUAAAAAUUAUUUUGAAGCUUUAAAGUUGUAGCUGGUCCUUUGAGGAUUCUCUUAAAAAACUGGUGGCAUCUUGUUCAUGUGGGUUGAAAAUAAGGUGUCAGUUAAAGAAACACUCAAAUGGGUUUUUCUUCAAAGCAACAUCAUAGAGUGUUCUUGAUGGAUAUCUAAUACAAUCCUUCUCAUUAUAUAAAAGAAGAUUCUAUGGCCGGAUCCUAUGUCAAUUCAUAGUUAUUGUGAAGGCCUUUGAUGCAUUUGUGGAGUCUUCAAUAUUUCAGUAUUUCAAGAUGGCCUAAUCAUCAUUUUCCUACCGGUUGAACCACAAAAGGUUUGCUUCUUUACCAAAUGGGUCAGUUUUUUUCAUUGGGAUUGUGUGAUUUUGUCAUGGGAGUUUCAUUCAUUAGCCUUUUGGAAAGACGAAAGAGGUUGAAAUUCUGAAUUUGAGCAGCUUCUUCAUGCUUUAUUGAUGAAAAAAGUGGAGCAUAGUGUUGAUUCUCACAGCUGAAAGUUAGAUGCCUUUAGACGUUAUUUAGUUAGAGAUGUGAUGUGACAACUAGUUUGUUAUUGUAUUAUCAUACACUAACAUUCAGUUACAACUAAACUAGAACACAAGGAAGCAUAAUCGUUCAGUACCUUAAGACAAUGCCUCCAAACCCACUGUUAACACGCAAAUCCUGCAUGAACUCAAGAGAAGUUAGAUUCAUUCUUUAUUCAAUGUAGAAAGAAAUCCGUUAAUAGUAUUUUAUACACAAUGCCAUCUAACUAAAACCUUAAACAAGCAUGAAUCCGAUUAAUCAUACAAAUAUGAAAGCAUCUUGCCUCAUUUAAUGAAUCAACUUAAAAAUAAUUAAACAAAACUGUACUUUUUGUUCCUUAGUUUUUACUAUUUCUAUUUGGUCCCUGUUUUUUCAACUUCUACAAUUUAAACCCAAUUUGUUGGUUUACAAUUGAAAGGCAUGAAUGUCAAGAGUUUCAAGGAUUCUGUCAUCUAAGUUGUACUUUUUAUAAAGCAUUGUAUGACCAAACUAAGAAAUUAGGAUUACACAUUUGGAAAGUUCCUCGUUUUGGACAUUCUCCACUUGGGAAGCAAAACCAUCCAUUAGAUUUUCUCCAGCAUCUAAACACAAUAUAACCUAUUUUUCUAUAGACUUCCAUUCCUGUUCCCUAAGCAUCGAAUUCAUAUUGAUACCAAUCAUCAUAUGUGAAUGCAUCUUCAAAAUUCCCAGCAAGAUCGUAUAGAACUAAGUCAAUACAUCCAACAAUACAUUUCGUACAAUAACUAACGAAGUGGAGAGGGAAUGCAAACAUACAAACUAAUUAACCCUGUUAGAGAACUAAAAUGGUUUCUUUAUAUGCCUACACGAACCAAUCACUGCGAAAAUAAGCAACAUAGUAAAAAAUAUGAAAACAAAAGAAAAGGAGAGAAUCAGGUACGUUCUUUUAACAAGCCAAAUCGUGCAAGCUUGCGUCCUGUACACCUUUUUGCAUCACACUGCCCAAAAUCCUGAAUCAACCACAAAACACCAUCAAUUUCAAUUUACUUACAACUUUGUAAGCUCAAGCUUUCAUUCCCAUUUGUAACAACAGCACAACAGUAACAAGUUUAAGGAUGACACAAUUCAGAAUUCAACAACAAAAACGCGAAGGAAAAAAAAAUGUUAAGCACACACCCACAUGGCAAGGUGAAUAUUUGGACGCGUUGGCUCCUCUUCAUUGGCUGCAACAAAAAGGAACUCGUCAGGAACCUAAAUCCAAAGUCUCUCCACUAUAAAAGGGCUUCUUUAAACAGAACAAAAUCACCCAUGUAGAAGCAAACUUCAGUGAGACAAAGUAGGCACCUGGGUCGACCGGCAAACACUCAUCCUCUCUGAAAAAAAGAAAUAAACAAAACAAAUGAUCGAUAUAAUGAAAAGACGAAUCAGAGGAAAAGGGUAAGAGUAUAUGUAAAUACCCAAUAAAUUUAUGGCCCCGAGUAGAUUGUCCGCGACGAGGAUGAUGAUUUUUGAAGCGUCUAGUCUUGUUAUGGCUCAUUCUGAGGCAGUUUAGUGAAGUGGGAUUCGGUGAUGUUGGGUUCUCCUUUACUUCUAGACCUGUUCAGAAAAAUCAUUGGAAUAAUAAUAACAUGACCUGGGUCGGUUAAAUAAGUGUAGGGUUGGCCCAAGCCAAUAUAAACCUAAACCCUGAACCUUUUUACCGAAAUUCCUUCAAUCACCCAGUCGCCCACACGCUCCGUCGCCGCGCCCCUUUCCGAAAUUCCUUCAAUCUUCUCAAGGGUAGUGUUAAGAGGAAGAGUCCUAAGAAGCUACUAAAGGAAGAAGAGCUCUCAGAAAGUAGGAAAGUUUCCCUGACUAUUUUCUUCCCCUUUACUUGAUAUUAUUGUUUGUCCUUAUUUUUCUGCAUUAUCUCUUCUGGUUUUGGUCGUCAAAUUCAUUUGCAUAAUUGUAAUUAUCCAUAGUUUAUGAUUAGUUUUUACAAUUCGAAAGGUUAAAAUUUUGGAGUUAAGAUAGAAUGACCAAUUUCUAAAAACCACAAAACAUGCUGUGGGUGUUGUAAUUAUACUAACAAAGGCUUUCUUUGUUCAAGCUUCAAUUCUUCCUACCUUGUAAAUAUAAACUAUGAACUCCCAACUUACUUUUUCUUAAAAAAAUAUUAAUAGUAAACAAUUUUACUUUUAAUACAUAUGUAUAAGUAUAUAAACGGCGAUGGAGUAAGGUUUGUCUUUGUCAUGCCAUUGAAUUUUAAGCUUCGAAUAUGUUAAAUUCAUAUUUGUUAAUAGAAAAAUAAGGAAAAAGUGUACCCCUAAAAUAAAACCCUAAACCCUUUCAUAUUCCUCUCACUCUUGUUCCACCUCCGUCUUUGCGCCUUUGCGCCUUUGCGCCAAAUCUCUAUCUAUGUAUCACUCUCAAUUGAGCCUUUGAUCAUCUGUAAAUUUUAGUUUUUGCUUUUUUUUUCCUGCCUUUCUUCCCAUAUCUAAUAUUUUUUUAUGUUGUCUACCAACUCAGAUUUGCAUUCUGAGAAAUAAAUUCUCCAUAAACAUGGCGGGGCUUCUAUUUAAUGAUAUUUUCAAGGUCAAGUGUGUCAACCCAGAUGGUAAAAAGUAUGAUAAAGGUACUUCCCUCAAGCUUCUUAUUGCUCUCUCAUUCUUUUAAUUCUUAGUUUCUGGUUUAUGAACUUUUGAGCCUCCGUUGAGAUGUUGGGAAUCACAAAACUCACUUGUUACAAGACGCUGCUCUCUCAAUAGACGAGCUACUCUCAUUGCCAAUUGGUUUUGAGAUGCCCAUGCUAUAAAAUAGCCCCCUUUGUGGACUUGAAACUUCUUCACUGUAUUGAUUUUAGCGUGAAGGAUUUUACAGGAUGCACAUUGAUUGCAUAAAAUUGUUGUUCUAGUUUCUAGAAUUGAAGCACGGAGUGAGAAGCUUUCGAUGCAUAUGCUGCUGGAUGUAAAUACAGAGAUAUAUCCUAUUGAUGAAGGUGAGAAGCUUCUGAUGGUCUUGUCUCCCACGUUGAACUAUGAUGGAUCUCCUGUUACCAGCUAUAAAGAUCAGGUAAUCCCUCCCAAUGUUUUAUUUAACUUUGUUGAUGGAGGAUUCGGGCUGUUCCUUUUCUGUUUGCAUUGUUUAAAAGACCAGACAGGUAAAAAAAAAAAACUGUUGGCAUCUGCGUCCAUAUCAAUUUUUCCAUGAGUAGAAAUGGUAGAUAUAUAAUAAUAUUUUAUAGGAAUUACUAAAGAUAUCAUUAAUAACUCCUCAAGGUAUCUCUGCGACUGAACAUUUGGAGAAGGAUCUUAUCAAGGAGUCUAAAAAAAACUAGAAAAAAGGGUCUGCAAAUUGCAGGGCAAGUAUCCAUUGGUUUCGUUCUGUCAAGGCCGUGCUUGUGCUAGCCAUGUCUCUUGAAAACAAAUGUGAGGAAAGGAAUGUGACUUAUUUAGGCUCCUUAUGACUUGUGUCUAAGGCUUGUGAUGCAUGACAUAGAUUUGUUAAGUCUUGAAUAUGCGCUUGGUGUUCCAACUUCCCUUAAGACACUGAGGAGCAUCUUAUUAAUCUCAAUAGAGUCCUUCAAGUUUUUGAAUUUCUUGAACCAAUAUUUCGGAGGAGGCCCUUGUUUUAAUCUACCUUGUUGCAUCUAUGGCUCAAAAGAAAUUGGAGAAUCUUUAGAGAUAUAGAAAAGUCAUGAGAGGUGGUUUAGAGUGAGUUGCAUUUCAAUGCCUCUCUGUAGGCGUGCAGAGAGCUUGUUCCACUUCUUUUUGAAAAAAACUGUAUUGUUCUUUUAAUUUUGUUCUCUUUGCUUCUAUGUUAUGCUGUACUGUCAUUUAUUUUUAUCUGCUUCUUUUGCUCUUUCAUUACAUUUAUUUCUUAUGAAGAAAAUAUGCACUUGUUAAUUUAUUUAAUUUUAUUUUAAAGGUUCGUAACUUUGUAUAAAUUGCCAACACAAGCAUAGCGUAGUUGGCAUUUGUAUGUUCCCGAGGACAAGAUGUUCGUGUUCAAAUUCCCCACCCCAAGUUGUACUUAAAAAGACUUUUUUUUAAAGAAACUUCGUAUAGACUAUAGAAACAAAAGUAUAAUCAAAAUUUUGUAGAUGUUGGAUAGCAUUAGAAACGUAGAUACACUUUUAACAUAAAGUUAACAAGAGAAACUUUGACAAACCUGGUUUAAUUCAGUUUCCAUGAUCGUAAUUGUAAACAUCACAUUUGAAAUUUUAGUGGUAAUAUCCUUCAAAUGAACUUAAUUUUUGGCAGGAAGGGAAGAAAUCUUUAGCUGAUAAGUUUGAAUACAUCAUGCAUGGUAAAACAUACAAACUUUCAGAUGAAGGCUCAGGUUCAGACUUGAAAGUGUAAGUGACCUAACAUUCUCACGAUUUUCUGCAACAGUUCAAAUCUGUCAUUUUCUUGUCAAAUCUUCUAUGAAUAAAACAAGUACCCUAACCAAUUGGAGAGGGCAGUUAACCUCUCCUUCCCUACAAUUAGACCGUGUACCAUGUCCAUGACUCCACUAACCAAUUGCUUUGGGGAUUAUACCCUUUUUACUCUUUCUAGCAUGAGUACUAAUAAUUGAGUCGUAUGAGGCGUUUGCAACUCAAUUAAUAAAUUGUUUCACAUGUCUCGUAAAUCGUUGGCUCUGAUGUUGUUUGGUUGGAAUGAUUGUAUAUGCAGGGAGGUUUAUGCAUCUUUUGGAGGACUCCAAAUGCUGUUGAAGGGAGAUCCCAUCCACUGUGCCAAAUUCAGGGUGGAUCAGAACAUGUUUUUGCUCCUUCGAAAACUCACAUAAAACAUACAAAUCUCUAGUAUGGCCUUUUGUUAUUACAAAGAUUGUGAUAACUCUGCAUAACUAUUGAUCAUAUCUGCAGAUAAAUUUUGAAUUGAAUUCUUUUACCAGAUCGAUCUUCAUAGUCGUUGUAUGGUUAGUGCUAUCUUAAAAUUUUCUAGUGGUUUGUUUUUUUCACUCAACAUUAGUGAGUGUUGCAACAAUUCUCCUUAGAUUGUAAUUUAAAUUAAUUGAACUAUAUUAUUGACUAAUAAUUAUAGUUGAAGGAAAAAUAGACCUAAAAAUGAAAGGAUUAGGUAGCAAAGGAAUUCUCGCACCACAAAUAUAUAUGAGUUAGAACUAUAUUUUCCUUUAAUUAAAAAUAAAUUUUGUUGAACUGAUUUAUAUAUCUAAUAUGAUUUGAGGAUUAAAACAUUCAUCAAUAAUACAUUCGUAAAUUGGAGUAUGGUUCGACUUUGAUAUGGAGUCAAUAUCUUUAAUAUUAAUUAGAGAAAAAUACCUUUUUGUCUCUGCCUUCUAUUAGUUCAUCAUUUUUAAGCUUAGAUUUUGGUUUUAAUUUAGUUUAUAAGCAUCAAAAUAUUGCAAUUUUACCCAUAUUUACAAUUUGUUUCAAUCUUCCGUCCUUCAACUUUGAAUAUUGUUCCAUAGGAGAAAAUGAACGUCAUUUCUCGUUUAAUAUUUUGACAUUCUUCUUAUUUCAUAACAAUCCUAAACAUAUAUUGCCAAGUACCUCCAACUUCUGAAGUAUAGAUUAAUCUCCUCUCUGUUUAACUUUAACAAACAUUAUAACGAAUAUAUAUAAUAAAUAAUUUGAAAGCAGUCCUACGCCGUUUGAUGGAAGUGCCAAUUACGAUGAUGACGAUUUGCCUCCGUUCAACAUCGAUUAAAGAAAACUAAAGUAAUAGCAAUGAGGAGUAAUUUU
rnacentral:lncRNA from 1 species